rnacentral:rRNA from 1 species
CCUACGGGUGGCAGCAGUGAGGAAUAUUGGUCAAUGGGCGCGAGCCUGAACCAGCCAAGUAGCGUGAAGGAAGACUGUCCUACGGGUUGUAAACCUCUUUUAUCAGGGAAUAAAGUGAGGCACGAGUGCCUUUUUGUAUGUACUUGAUGAAUAAGGAUCGGCUAACUCCGUGCCAGCAGCCGCGGUAAUACGGAGGAUCCGAGCGUUAUCCGGAUUUAUUGGGUUUAAAGGGUGCGUAGAUGGGUUGUUAAGUCAGUGGUGAAAGUUUGCGGCUCAACCGUAAAAGUGCAAUUGAUACUGGCAGCCUUGAGUACAGUUGAGGUAGGCGGAAUGCGUGGUGUAGCGGUGAAAUGCUUAGAUAUCGCGAAGAACUCCGAUUGCGAAGGCAGCUUACUAAACUGCCACUGACAUUGAUGCUCGAAAGUGUGGGUAUCAAACAGGAUUAGAUACCCGGGUAGUC